CAGGUUCCAGCCCCGACCCGGGCGCGCGGGGCCGACUAGGGUCGGGUCCAGUGUGCGGUGGUCGCUCCGCUCCGGGCCGCUCCGCUCUGGGCGUCAGGGCGCGGGGAGCUGCCCCGGGGUUCUGUCCACCGGGGAGGAAAGCCACGAGCACUGAGCGCCUCCUGAGAGCCAGCCCUGACGUGAACUCAUUUUAUCUGCCACGACCCAGAAGGAGUCUACUGCUAAGAUUUCAGCAUGUCCUGUGGCUGAGUUAAUCAGAGUUAUGACAGGAAGGUACCGGGCACACCAUCGCAAUGCUCCAUCAAUGCUAGUAUGUUGUGUUCUUUCCUUCAUAUCAAGUCAACUCAAGCUUGCUCUACUUACCUGGUGUACACAGUCUAAGAACUGUAAGAAGACUGGAGCAAAACCACUCCCCUGACAGUUGAGGGUCAAGCUGCUCCUCUGACUGAAUUUGUGACCAAAAGAGAGCCACUCUUUUUCAACCAACAUCUGGAAGCCUUCAAGUGUCCUAUAAAAGGGAUCACUGAGUAACUGAACCAGGGAUGUCACCUAGGGCAUAAGCAGGAUGGAUUGUCAUUAAUUUUAGUUCUGAAAAAGGCCUAUUACUAAGAUAAAAGCACUUCCUUCUGAUGAUAGCUAAUUCACAAAUUUACCUGGACAGCAAAUUUGUUCACUAACCAUUCCAGGAUGGCCAAUAAAAUUAAUUUUGUAAACUUGCCAGUAAAAACUAAAGCUCAAAUUCAUUUUGGCUACAAGUUUACUUUCAGGGAAUUGAGACUUUAAUCCUUAACUGGCCAGUUUGCUGACAGCAACCUUUUCCUAAGUUAAUCAGAGGCCAGAGGAUCAGUUAAAAUCAAUUCUACUUUUUGGCAGAUGCAGAUUAAUGUCUUAAUGUAGUCUGAACUCACACUUUUCACUCUGGAGUGAGUUAAGGCGGGGCUUAUAGAGAGCCAGGGGAUGGACUGACAAAACCCAGGAAGGAUGGUCCACGCCUCACACUGCUGGUCAAGGGCUCCAUCCGCAAGCCUGCAUGGUACAUCUGUGGAUGGGAGAGCUUGAUGCCCGGAGCCAGAGCUCCAGGCUGCGUAGGGGCUAAGAGCUCAUGGUACGGAGUUUUCUGAUGGAUACCAGGUGCUGUUUAACACAGGACUUUCUCUGUCCAUAAACACAUUAGUCAUUAUACAAAAGAGUCAUCUGAAGAAUUUAAAAAUGACCAAAUGGAAAUAUAAAUAUAAAAUAUCAAAAAAUAUGUCUAAUAGUUUACUUGUGCAGUGAUGUCCCAGCCUUCCUCCAAACAGACCAAAACUGAGGAACCAUUCUCAAGUACUUCUGAUACAACCACAGCCAGCUGCAUUAUCCUGUGAAGCUAAGAGACAGGAAGGAGAACACAAUUAGACCAAGCGCUUUCUGAGUGCAGAAGUCAGAGAGAGUUGCUUUCAACCCUGGAUAAUCAAACGACUUAGGGAUAAAGCGCUUGCACAAAAGAACCACAUAAUGUUUUAAAUACCUAAAGUUCUUUCAAAUCAAGAUUAAACAAUGACACUUUUGACUGGAUGCAAUGACUCAUGCCCAUAAUCCCAGCACUUUGGGAGGCCGAGCCGGGCAGGUCAUUUGAGGUUCGGAGUUCGAGACCAGCCUGGGCAACAUAAGCAAGACCCUGUCUCGAAAAAUAAAAAUAAAAAAGAUACUCCUAUUUGUCUAUACUGUGUACUAAAUGAGAAAAAAACUUUCAAUAUAUUUGUGCUAAGUUUUUAAAGCCACAUCAAUUGGCUCAAAGUCCUUAAUAAACAAUUAAGGUAUGAGAAUAGUAUAUAGAUUUUAAAACCAGAUGUAUAACAUUGUAAUUUUAAAAAAUAUUUUAAUGAUCAUCAGACAUAAUUUGCAAUUUGAAUCCAACUCUGAACAAGAACAAAAAUGAAAAAACCCAUCUCUUAAACAGAGCUAGGCUACUUUAAACACAGGAAUAAGGCAAAUGCCCUACUCAGUAAUGAGAAGCUCCUCAUGUAACUGUUUCUACAACAUAGCUAUCACCAGGCCUGAAUUCUUUUGGGCUCAGAAUUUGUUCUAAGAAAUGGCUAUUAUUAAAAAGUCAAAAAAUAACAGAUGCUGGCGAGCCUGUGGAGAAAAGGGAAUGUAUAUACAUUUCUGGUGGGAAUGUAAAUUAGUUCAGCCAUUGUAGAAAGUAGUUUGGUGAUUUCUCAAAUAACUUAAAACAGAAUUACCAUUUGACCUAGCAAUCCCAUUACUGAGUAUAUACCCAAAGGAAUAUAAAUUGUUCUACCAUAAAGUCACAUGCACACACAUGUUCAGUGCUGUACUAUUCACAAUAGCAAAGACAUGGAGUCAACCUAUAUGCCCAUCAACGGUAGACUGGAUAAAGAAAAUAUGGUACAUAUACACCAUGGAAUACUACACAGCCAUAAAAAGAAUGAGCUUAUGUCCUUUGCAGUAACACAGCUGAAGCAAACUAACACAGGAAUGGAAAACCAAAUACUGCAUAUUCUCACUUAUAAGUGGGAGCUAAACAUUGAGUACACAUGGACACAAAGAAAGGAAUAGACGCCUGGGGCGUAUUUGAGGUUGGAGGUGAGAGGAGGGUGAGGAUAGAAAAACUACCUAUCAGGUACUAUGCUUAUUACCUGGGUGAUGAAAUAAUCUGUACACCAAACUCCCAAGAUAUGCAAUGUACCUAUACAACAAACCUACAU
rnacentral:lncRNA from 10 species